CCUACGGGAGGCAGCAGUGAGGAAUAUUGGUCAAUGGACGAGAGUCUGAACCAGCCAAGUAGCGUGAAGGAUGACUGCCCUAUGGGUUGUAAACUUCUUUUAUAUGGGAAUAAAUUGUUCCACGUGUGGGAUUUUGUAUGUACCAUAUGAAUAAGGAUCGGCCAACAUCGUGUCAGAAGCCGCGGUUAUACGGAGGAUCCGAGCGUUAUCCGGAUUUAUUGGGUUUAAAGGGAGCGUAGGUGGAUUGUUAAGUCAGUUGUGAAAGUUUGCGGCUCAACCGGAAAAUUGCAGUUGAAACGGGCAGUCUUGAGUACAGUAGAGGUGGGCGGAAUGCGUGGUGUAGCGGUGAA
rnacentral:rRNA from 1 species